rnacentral:pre_miRNA from 1 species
GAGUUACUCCCUCCGUUCGGAAUUACUUGUCUCGGAAAUGGAUGUAUGUAGAACUAAAAUACAUCAAGAUACAUCCAUUUCUACGACAAGUAAUUCCGAACGGAGGGAGUACAUA